UAUUUCUUAUAAAUAUCGCAACAAUACUCGUCUUCAGUCUUUCUUCUCCAAAUAGAAAAAAAAAUUGAGAGAGAGAGAGUGGAUACGGAGCAGAGGAGGAUACGGCGCAACUGAUUGAUAUGGCUGGGUGAUGCGCGGAGGCGGAGGAGCGUUGUUCAUCCUCUCCACGGCGUCUGAUUUGACCGACGACGACCUAAAGUAGAAAAAGGUCGUCGUUUGAAUAAUAAACAAACGAUGUAAUUCAGGCUUUGGGGAUUUCUUAGGGUUUACAUAAUAUUUUGAUCAGCCAUGGUUUGAACAAUGGUGGUGGUGAAGAAGAAGAAGACGAAGAAGAAGAAGAAGAUUCUGACCGCUUAAGAUCAGAGAGAGAGAGAGAGAGAUAUCAUUGACAUAUUUUGGCAGGUCCACCUUUGCUUGCAACACAAACAACUACGCCACAUCUGCUAGCUAGAAUUUCAGGAACAGUGGCAAAGGCUUACCAGCCAAAUCACACAGAGACAUUCUCCAAUUGCUUUAACGACAGAAGUGUCUAAUCAGAUCGGAGAUGGCUUGAAGAAUGAUGAAGAAGACUCAUACUGCUUAAGGAACAAUGGCAAGGGAUAACCUGUCCGCUCACACAGACACAUCUUCACAGAGAGACAUCGUCUAAGCAGAUCAAAGAGAUAUGAUCAAAUCCUAUGUCAUUGACAUCUGAGACGAGGCCUAUGGAGUUUGGUGAAAUCAAAGACUGCGGUUGGCCAUGGCAGAUACACAUAUCACAAGGAGCCAAUCGAGAUGUUUGUUCUGUGGAUUCGUUUGCUUGUAGAUCAAACUCAAUGGCCAAGAUUGUACAUGACGAGCUAGUGAAUUUGUGAUGGCUGCCGGAGAUGUAUCUGAGCUACGCUUUGCUAAACCAGGUCUUGAAGAGGAUUCAAAGACGAGAAGUCCUCUUCCCAUACAAUUAAAUUAUUGAUAUUAUGUUUCUAUGGAUGUUUGAUGAGAGUCAUGCCUUGAAGCCGUUUAACAAGACUGCCGCUGAUCUCUUGGCCAAGAAAGAUGAUUGACCUUCAUUCAAAACUUACAAGCUGACGAGACCUAUGGAGAUUGGUGAAACCGAAGACCUGCAGGAACACCUUGAAAGACAGCAGCUAAGCUCAGGGAAGGUUAAUGAAGGUGUAGCUGAUUCUCAACCUCCUAAACAGUUUUUACUAAAGAAAUAGUUUAUUUGUUAGGAAAAAUCCCCUGAGGGAAGGACGAUGCUGGAUUUCCGGAAAUCUUUGCUAAAGACAAAGAAAGACUUCUUCAAGCUAUUCCUCGUAACCAGGUGAAGAUUUUGGUGAGACGAGAAGACUGCUGUUGGCCAUGGAGUUUGGUGAAACCGAAGACUGCUGUUGGCCAUGGAAGAUACACAAAAGACAUAACAUAAGGAUUCAAGUGAAUAGCCGAGACUUGUGGAAUUAUUGAAGGCUGCUGCUUGCAGAUCAAACUCAAUGGCGGAGAUCGUACAUGACUAGUGAAAUUGUGAUGCCUGCUGGAGAUGUAUCUGAUGAGCUACGCUUUGCUAAACCAGGUCUUAAAGAGGAAGCAAAGACGACCAAACCCUAGAAGAUCUCUUCCCACACAAUUAAAUUUGUUGGGUGUCAGUCACUGCUUUCAUGAGAAAUGCAUAAGGUUCACGGGCAUAACAAUGUCUAUAACCCUACUAUCUUUCCGCACAGUGUUGGUCUCGGAGCCACCAGGCAACUAUUACCUAAAACGUUUAUUUGGUUUUGGAUCCUGAUCUGGUUAAGAGGAAUUGAGCAGCCACUGCAGUCGAAGUCAGAGCCACUGGAAUUCCAUACACAUUUUCUCCUUGCAUUGCAGUAAAGUUUUCUGCAUUCUGGAUCCUAUACUUUAGCCAGCGGUCUUAGAAAUCCCCUGAGCAAUGUUGAUGAGUAGAAGUCGAAGUUAGGCGUUCCAGAGACAAAAGGGAUCGAAGGGAUUAUGAGCAAAUUUUAAAUCUUGCCAAGAAAAUGCGAUUGUACAGUGAGAUUUAUGGUCGCAAGCAAGGUUUCCUCUUCCCAAUUACCGGCCAGGUUUGGAUGACAAGCGACCACAACGGGAGGUAACAUUGCCUCCCUUGAUUUACCAAAACCGUAGCACUUCCUCUGAGUUUGCAAAGAAGUGUUCCUGCCGGAACACUUUGAUAGACAGCAGCUAAGCUCAGGGAAGGCUAAUGAAGGUGUAGCUGAUUCUCAACCUCCUAAAUAGAUCGAAGAACUUCCGGAUGAAAGUUCUGAUGCGUUUAUUGAUGGUUCUCUUAUGGAGAAGGUACUUAAGAGGAGAAGUAUGCGGAUGCGCAAUAUGCAGAGAGCCUGGCAGGAAUCCCGUGAGAGAAGGACGAUGCUGGUACUCCGGAAAUCUUUACUAAGGACAAAGAAAGACUUCUUCACGGAACCAGGUGAAUGUAAGAUGUUUUAAUUGUAGUGUUAAAGGAGCGGAGCGUCCAGAUCUGAGAUUGAUUCUCAUGAUUGCCACUUUAAAUGCUGAACUCUUUUCUAAUUAUUAUGGAGGGGCACCUACCAUUCACAUUCCUGUUGAGGGAUCCUGAUCUGGUGAAGAGGAUUGGAGCAGCCACUGCAGUCGAAGUCAGAGCCACUGGAAUUCCAUACACAGUUGCUCCUUGCAUUGCAGGUUGUAGAGAUCCCAGAUUGGUUAGGUGUUAUGAGCACUGCAGCGAGGAUCACAAAAUUGUGGAAGACAUGACAGAUGUCAUACUUGGUUUACAAGGAGAGCAUCCUUCCAACUAUAAAGCAUGGCAUUCCAUUUGUUGGUGGCAGGUGUAAAGUUGCAACAUGUGCCAAGCAUUACGUGGGAGAUGCUGGGGCAACAGGAGGAAUAAAAAUGAGAAUAACACGGUAACUCAUGGUCUUCUUAGUGUUCGCAUGCCUGCUUAUGCUGAUGCAUUUUACAAAGGUGCUUCCACAGUGAUGGUUUCAUAUUCAAGCUGGAAUGGUGAGAAGAUGCAUACAAAUACUGAGCUUAUCACAGGUGGGGAAAAGGGCUAUUUCAUACCCGUACACACCCCAAAAGUGUGAAUUCCUUCUUUUACAAACAACAAGUGCUAAUUUAAACAUGUACCCCAAUAUAUUACAAAUUUCAUACAUGUACUCACAAAAUUGAGUCAAUUGCUAAGUCCACGUUAACAAAUUUAAGUCAA